rnacentral:rRNA from 1 species
UGUUUACAAGCAGCGAAAGUGGUUUUGCACCACGAUCGUGUACUUUUUGUAGAACGGGCCAGCGAGUUACGAUUACUAGCGAGGUUAAGCAUUAAAGAUGCGGAGCCGAAGCGAAAGCGAGUCUAAAUAGGGCGGAAGUUAGUGGUUGUAGACCCGAAACCGUGUGAUCUAUCCAUGAGCAGAGUGAAGUUGAAGUAAAAUUCAAUGGAGGCUCGAACCGGGUAACGUUUAAAAGUUAUCGGAUGACUUGUGGAUAGGGGUGAAAAGCCAAACGAACACGGAGAUAGCUGGUUCUCCUCGAAAUAGCUUUAGGGCUAGCCUCUAGUAAGACAUGAAAAGGGGGUAGAGCACUGAUUGGUCAAGGGGCAUGCAUAUGUUACCAAGACCUAUCAAACUCCGAAUACCAUAUCAUGCACUAGGGAGUCAGACUAUGUGGGAUGAGCUUCAUAGUCGAAAGGGAAAGAGCCCAGACCAUCAGCUAAGGUCCCAAAAUUAUAGUUAAGUGGGAAAGGAUGUGGAGUUACUGAGACAACUAGGAUGUUGGCUUAGAAGCAGCCACUCAUUUAAAGAGUGCGUAAUAGCUCACUAGUCGAGUGAUUCUGCGCCGAAAAUUUAACGGGGCUAAACUGUACACCGAAGCUACGGAUCGAAAGAUGGUAGGGGAGCGUUCUGUAGGCCGUUGAAGCAUGAUCGAAAGGACAUGUGGAGGUAUCAGAAGUGAGAAUGUCGGAAUAAGUAGCGAGAGCAAAGUGAGAAUCUUUGCCGUCGAAAAUCUAAGGUUUCCUGGGCAAGGCUCGUCCUCCCAGGGUAAGUCGGGACCUAAGGCGAGGCCAAGAGGCGUAGUCGAUGGACAGCAGGUUUAAAUUCCUGCACUGCAAUGUUGCGUUAUUAGAGACGCAGGGACACGGAAGGAUAAGAUCGCAGACAGCUGGAAUAGUCUGUGGAAAGCACGAAACGAAGGACUUAGUAAAGUACGGGUCCUAAUAGGAGAGUGCCGAAGGAGGGAAAAUAAGUACCGAAGGAUCUGAAUUCAACUGGCGAGAAAAGCUGCUAUCAAGUAACAGUGCACCCGUACCGCAAACCGACACAGGUAGAUGAGGAGAGAAUCCUAAGACGAUCGGGAGAAUCAUCGUUAAGGAACUAGGCAAAUUAACCCCGUAAGUUAGCGAUAAGGGGAGCCAGCUAGCGCUGGCCGCAGAGAAAUGGCCCGAGCAACUGUUUAGCAAAAACACAGGUCUCCGCAAACACGAAAGUGGAAGUAUGGGGGCUGACGCCUGCCCGGUGCUGGAAGGUCAAGGGGAAGUGUUAGAGAAUACUCGAAGCACAGAACUUAAGCCCCAGUGAACGGCGGCCGUAACUAUAACGGUCCUAAGGUAGCGAAAUUCCUUGUCAGGUAAGUUCUGACCCGCA